CUGUCCAGCGAUCUAUCUGGCUAAGAAGAACAUCAGGAAACAGGGGGAGCUGGUGGACUUUGAGAAGGAGAACUACAGCAUCCUGCACAAGAAGAUUAACCACACCUGGGACUUUGUGGUGAUGCAGGCCAGAGAACAGCUCAGGGCCUCUAAGCAGAGAAAGAWGGCUGACCGCAUCGUUCUGGAGUGCCAGGAGCAAGCCUACUGGCUGGCCAACAAACCAUGU